AUGCUGAAAGAAAGAUGGAGAUUACUCACUACAGCGAUGGAUUCCUUUCCGCAGACAACCAAAAUAACACUGAAGAUCGCUCUUUGAAUCAUCGGUUGCAGGAUCAUCCCCGACGUCAAGAGCCUUCCUGCUUACAACUCGAUAGAUCUGGGUGAGUACCUCUGUGAAGGCAUUCUCUACAUUCAUAGACUCAAGAGCGGAAGUCUCCAUGAAAAAGGUGUUUUCACGCUCUGCAAAUGCGGUGGCGUCAUCCGUGAUAACAGCUCGCAGGUGACGCAGGUCUGCCUUGUUUCCUACCAGCAUGAUCACAAUGUUGGCAUCUGUGUGAUCACGUAGCUCCUUUAGCCACCUCUCGACGUUUUCGAAUGUAACAUGACGAGUGACAUCGUAUACUAGUAGUGCUCCAACAGCACCUCGAUAGUAUGCACUUGUUAUGGCACGAUACCUUUUAUCCAAUAAUAAUAAAUCAAAAUA